UACAGAGGUGGCAAGCGUUGUUCGGAAUUACUGGGCGUAAAGGGCGAGUAGGUGGCCAUCUAAGUCAGACGUGAAAUCCCCCGGCUUAACUGGGGAACUGCGUCUGAUACUGGAUGGCUUGGAUUCGGGAGAGGAAUGCGGAAUUCCAGGUGUAGCGGUGAAAUGCGUAGAUAUCUGGAGGAACACCGGUGGCGAAGGCGGCAUUCUGGACCGAUAUUGA
rnacentral:rRNA from 1 species